CACGUAGGCGGCUUUUUUAAGUCAGGGGUGAAAUCCUGGAGCUCAACUCCAGAACUGCCCUUGAUACUGAGAAGCUUGAGUCCGGGAGAGGUGAGUGGAACUGCGAGUGUAGAGGUGAAAUUCGUAGAUAUUCGCAAGAACACCAGUGGCGAAGGCGGCUCACUGGCCCGGUACUGACGCUGAGAUGCGAAAGCGUGGGGAGCAAACAGGAUUAGAUACCCUGGUAGUCCACGCCUUAAACGAUGGAUGCUAGCCCGUUGUCGGGUUUACUCGUCAGUGGCGCAGCUAACGCAUUAAGGCAUCCCGCCUGGGGAGUACGGUACGCAAGAUUAAAA
rnacentral:rRNA from 1 species